rnacentral:rRNA from 1 species
UACCAGCACCCCGAGUGGUCGGGACGUUUAUUGGGCCUAAAGCAUCCGUAGCCGGUUCUACAAGUCUUCCGUUAAAUCCACCUGCUUAACAGAUGGGCUGCGGAAGAUACUAUAGAGCUAGGAGGCGGGAGAGGCAAGCGGUACUCGAUGGGUAGGGGUAAAAUCCGUUGAUCCAUUGAGGACCACCAGUGGCGAAGGCGGCUUGCCAGAACGCGCUCGACGGUGAGGGAUGAAAGCUGGGGGAGCAAACCGG